rnacentral:misc_RNA from 1 species
CAGCUGCGUUAAGUGGUGUGAAUUGCAGGACACGAUGAGCACUAAAUUUUCGAACGCAUAUUGCGCCUAUGGGCUUUCCCGUAGGCAUGUCUGUCUGAGGGUCGGAAAUACUGACCACAUAUUAAUAGUUGAUUUCGAGCAGUCUUAGUUCAACAAUUGUUGUGCUUUGACUUGUUCGUUCAACUUAAGACACGCGAUGCAUAGCUCAAUUGCUCGGUAGCGGCGCAUCGGUUCAGCGCGACGUGCUGUAAUCGGUAGCUGGGGUGAUACCUUUACUUUCGAGCGGCUAAUGUGUCAGCGUCAAUUGUUAUAUUUAACAAAUCGAAUAUUAUUUUGUCGACCUCAGAUCAGGCAAGAUUACCCGCUGAAUUUAA